rnacentral:rRNA from 1 species
UACAGAGGGUGCAAGCGUUAAUCGGAAUUACUGGGCGUAAAGCGUGCGCAGGCUGUUUUGUAAGUCAGAUGUGAAAUCCCUGAGCUCAACUUAGGAACUGCGUUUGAAACUACAAGACUAGAAUAGGUCAGAGGGGGGUAGAAUUCCACGUGUAGCAGUGAAAUGCGUAGAGAUGUGGAGGAAUACCAAUGGCGAAGGCAGCCCCCUGGGAUCAUAUUGACGCUCAUGCACGAAAGCGUGGGGAGCAAACAGG